rnacentral:rRNA from 1 species
GACGAAGGGGGCUAGCGUUGUUCGGAAUUACUGGGCGUAAAGCGCGUGUAGGCGGUUGUCCAAGUUGGAUGUGAAAGCCUUGAGCUCAACUCAAGAAAUGCAUUCAGGACUGGAUGACUAGAGGACCGGAGAGGAUAGUGGAAUUCCCAGUGUAGUGGUGAAAUACGUAGAGAUUGGGAAGAACACCAGUGGCGAAGGCGGCUAUCUGGACGGUUUCUGACGCUUAAGACGCGAAAGCGUGGGGAGCAAACA